rnacentral:lncRNA from 1 species
AGCUAUGUGAGUUACAUGGGGCAAAGCUUCCAUGCUCCUUCAGAAAACAUAUGUUAAAUUGAAAUAGUAGUAAUAUUAUAACCCCUAGAAGGAGAAGUGAAGAAAAAAGAACACAUGUUUGCUGGCUGCUUGCCUGAAACCAUGAAUAGGAACAGCUGAGAUAUUUUAUAGCCUGUCAACAACCCCUCUUCAAGAAUAACCUGAGAAAGCAGAUUGUCUGUGGAGAGCAAGGCUUGAUCCACAACAGAGGAUCCUUUGAGCUGUAGUGUUUACCUUGCUGUCUCAAGCCCUAACUGCUUCAUUCUUUGUAAUUUGAUUAUUUGGUCACGCCCUGGAAUGCAAAGUAUUGCUCUGAUGUAUUUGUAUAAACCUAGGCUCUUCAAAUACUGUCCAGAGCAGCCAGACAGAAACAUCUGGGAGCCUUGCUUCUGCAGUGCCAAUAUGCAUGGAGACAGACUCAUUUACACCAACAAAAAAAUGCCUGUGCAUCUACUGACUAAUCAGAACACAAUUUGUCAAAGAAAAAAUAUUGUUUAUGCAUCAACAUUCACUUUGGAUUUUUUUUUUUAUUCUGAAGGAACCACUGUCCUUCUGGCUACCAAGGGCCUUUUGCUGGAACAAAACAAUGAAGAGAUCAGGGAGGUACCAGGAGACUGUAUUUUGGUCCUGAAAAUUAUUGGCAGUUUUUGUAAUCUUCUCAUAUCCCUUCUGCUAGGGAUUAGAAGUAGCAAGAAGGGUGGGUUUACUGGGGAAGUCUUGUAAAAUAAACAAACAUUACCAGUCUAAGCGUCCA